GAGCACAAUGGAGCAGUGCACCUGGCUGUUAACCAAAAGGUUGGUGGUUCGAGCCCACCUCA
rnacentral:tRNA from 1 species